rnacentral:rRNA from 1 species
UACGUAGGGGGCAAGCGUUGUCCGGAAUCAUUGGGCGUAAAGAGCGUGUAGGCGGCCCGAUAAGUCCGCUGUGAAAGUCCAGGGCUCAACCCUGGAAUGCCGGUGGAUACUGUCGGGCUCGAAUCCGGAAGAGGUGAGUGGAAUUCCUGGUGUAGCGGUGAAAUGCGUUGAUAUCAGGAGGAACGACCCAUGGCGAAGGCAGGUUACUGGGCAUUAUCUGAC